UGAGGAAUAUUGGUCAAUGGGCGAGAGCCUGAACCAGCCAAGUAGCGUGAAGGAUGAAGGCUCUAUGGGUCGUAAACUUCUUUUAUAUGGGAAUAAAGUUUUCCACGUGUGGAAUUUUGUAUGUACCAUAUGAAUAAGGAUCGGCUAACUCCGUGCCAGCAGCCGCGGUAAUACGGAGGAUCCGAGCGUUAUCCGGAUUUAUUGGGUUUAAAGGGAGCGUAGGUGGAUUGUUAAGUCAGUUGUGAAAGUUUGCGGCUCAACCGUAAAAUUGCAGUUGAAACUGGCAGUCUUGAGUACAGUAGAGGUGGGCGGAAUUCGUGGUGUAGCGGUGAAAUGCUUAGAUAUCACGAAGAACUCCGAUUUGCGAAGGCAGCUCACUAGACUGUUACUGACACUGAUGCUCGAAAGUGUGGGUAUCAAAACA
rnacentral:rRNA from 1 species